rnacentral:rRNA from 1 species
CGUGCGGUUCCAUUUUGUUGGUUUCUAGAGUCGGCCGUAAUGAUUAAUAGGGAUAGUUGGGGGCAUUUGUAUUGCGUUGCUAGAGGUGAAAUUCUUGGAUUUACGCAAGACAAACUAUUGCGAAAGCAUUUGCCAAGGAUGUUUUCAUUAAUCAAGAACGAAGGUUAGGGGAUCGAAAACGAUCAGAUACCGUUGUAGUCUUAACAGUAAACUAUGCCGACUAGGGAUCGGACGACCUCAAUAUUAUGCGUCGUUCGGCACCUUACGAGAAAUCAAAGUCUUUGGGUUUUGGGGGGAGUAUGGUCGCAAGGCUGAAACUUAAAGGAAUUGACGGAAGGGCACCACCAGGAGUGGAGCCUGCGGCUUAAUUUGACUCAACACGGGGAAACUCACCAGGUCCAGACAUAACUAGGAUUGACAGAUUGAUAGCUCUUUCUUGAUUUUAUGGGUGGUGGUGCAUGGCCGUUCUUAGUUGGUGGAGUGAUUUGUCUGGUUAAUUCCGAUAACGAACGAGACCUUAACCUGCUUAAUAGCCUGGCCGGCUUUUGCUGGUCACCGGCUUCUUAGAGGGACUGUCAGCGUCUAGCUGACGGAAGUUUGAGGCAAUAACAGGUCUGUGAUGCCCUUAGAUGUUCUGGGCCGCACGCGCGCUACACUGACAGAGCCAGCGAGUACUUUUCCUUGGCCGGAAGGUCAUGGGUAAUCUUGUGAAACUCUGUCGUGC